AUUGAACGCUGGCGGCAUGCCUUACACAUGCAAGUCGAACGGCAGCAUGGGUGCUUGCACCUGAUGGCGAGUGGCGAACGGGUGAGUAAUACAUCGGAACGUACCCGGAAGUGGGGGAUAACGUAGCGAAAGUUACGCUAAUACCGCAUAUUCUGUGAGCAGGAAAGAGGGGGAUCGCAAGACCUCUCGCUUUCGGAGCGGCCGAUGUCAGAUUAGCUAGUUGGUAGGGUAAAAGCCUACCAAGGCGACGAUCUGUAGCGGGUCUGAGAGGAUGAUCCGCCACACUGGGACUGAGACACGGCCCAGACUCCUACGGGAGGCAGCAGUGGGGAAUUUUGGACAAUGGGGGCAACCCUGAUCCAGCCAUGCCGCGUGAGUGAAGAAGGCCUUCGGGUUGUAAAGCUCUUUCGGCCGGGAAGAAAUCGCACAGGCUAAUACCUUGUGUGGAUGACGGUACCGGAAUAAGAAGCACCGGCUAACUACGUGCCAGCCGCCGCGGUAACAC
rnacentral:rRNA from 1 species